rnacentral:rRNA from 1 species
GAUGAACGCUGGCGGCGUGCCUAAUACAUGCAAGUCGAGCGAACAGACGAGGAGCUUGCUCCUCUGACGUUAGCGGCGGACGGGUGAGUAACACGUGGAUAACCUACCUAUAAGACUGGGAUAACUUCGGGAAACCGGAGCUAAUACCGGAUAAUAUAUUGAACCGCAUGGUUCAAUAGUGAAAGACGGUUUUGCUGUCACUUAUAGAUGGAUCCGCGCCGCAUUAGCUAGUUGGUAAGGUAACGGCUUACCAAGGCAACGAUGCGUAGCCGACCUGAGAGGGUGAUCGGCCACACUGGAACUGAGACACGGUCCAGACUCCUACGGGAGGCAGAAGUAGGGAAUCUUCCGCAAGGGGCGAAAGCCGGACGGAGCAACGCCGCGUGAGUGAUGAAGGUCUUCGGAUCGUAAAACUCUGUUAUUAGGGAAGAACAAAUGUGUAAGUAACUAUGCACGUCUGGACGGUACCUAAGCAGAAAGCCACGGCUAACUACG